rnacentral:rRNA from 1 species
AUGGAUCUGUUUAUCGCUCUUUGGCUGAUAGGUAUUGUAGCUGGUAUUGUUGUGAUUGAUUUAGUAGGUGUUUUCUUUUAUGGUUCAUAUUCUGGAUUGGGUUCAUCUCUAUAG